CACGUAGGGCGCAAGCGUUGUCCGGAAUUAUUGGGCGUAAAGAGCUCGUAGGCGGUUGGGUAAGUCGGGUGUGAAAAUUCCAGGCUCAACUUGGAGACGCCACCCGAUACUGCUCUGACUUGAGUUCGGUAGGGGAGUGGGGAAUUCCUGGUGUAGCGGUGAAAUGCGCAGAUAUCAGGAGGAACACCGGUGGCGAAGGCGGGACUCUGGGCCGAUACUGACGCUGAGGAGCGAAAGCGUGGGGAGCAAACAGG
rnacentral:rRNA from 1 species